rnacentral:tRNA from 1 species
GCGUGGGUGGCGGAAUUGGUAUACGCGCACGUUUGAGGGGCGUGUGCCGUAAGGCGUGAGGGUUCGACCCCCUCCCCACGCACCA